AAUUCUAUGUAAAUAUCUUUUAUAAUUCGUAAUUAGUUUUAAAAUAUUAUUAUACAUUAAUAUAUUUUAUAAAAUUAAGAAUAAAAGUUUUAUCUUAUUUUACCUAUUAUAUAAUCAUAAUUAAUCAUAUUAAGAGAAAAUUAUUAUAUUGAACUAAACAUAAUAAACUAUAUUAAAUUAUUAUAUAUAUUUUUUUAUUUUCAUAAGUAUUUAUGUUCAGAAUAACAUAUGUUGGUAACAAGGGUUAACAUUAGCAAACUAUAUAGUACAUGUAUAGAAAUUAACAUGUAUUUUAUUAAAGCUAAUAAUAUAAAAAUCUUUGUAUUUAUUUUAAUUAUGAUAUCUUUUCAUUUUAACUAUAUAUAUAUAUAUAUAAUUCUAACAAAUCUGUUGAAUUUUAUUUUUAAUAUCUUAAUUUUCAGGAAGUUUAUGUAAAUAUUUUAACUAAUUUUGUAAUUAGCAAUGAACUAUUAUUAUUUAUUAUAUGUAUUCAAUUAUAGUUUAUAAAAUAAAACACAAAAAUUAUAUCUUACUUUUAUCUAUUUUAUAAUAAUAAUAAUUCAUGUUAAAGUAAAAAUAUUAUAUUAAAUUAAAUAUGAUAAAUUAUAUUAAAUUGAUAAAUUUAUAAUUUUAUUUUCAUAAAUAUAAAAUAUUUAUACUAAAAAUAUAAUACGAUGGCAUAACCACUUAACAUUCGCAAACUAUAUGAUACAUGUAUAAAAAUUGAUAUAUCUUAGAUUUUUGUAUAUACAAAGAAUAUAUUUUUAAAAUGAAUAAACGUAAAAAAAUAUUGCUAUAAAGAAAUACGACUUUGUUUCAUGCAUAUAUAAAUUUGUUUAAUAACAAAAUUCAAAUACAGUAACAUAAAUAUAUAAUAAGAAAUGACAAAUACAUGUGAUGGUUUUAAACUAUUGAUUAUUACACCAUGUAAACUAUAAAAUUGUUAUAUUUGAAAUAUGUAUAUAAACAUUUAAAUAUAUGGUUAACGUUAAAAUUGUAUACCAUUUAUAAAACCGAAAAAGAACAUCCGCGAUGUUGCGCGGGUCAAGAUCUAGUUGAGUUUAAAAUUACACUUCAGAUCACUUUCAGCUACUGGCACACUUUCGGCUAACUGAAACAUAAAUGAAAUCCAAUUGUUAUCUUUAAUUAGUUACUCCAAUUGUUAUUUGCUAACAUGUAACAACAAACAAUUCAACUUUAACAAUAUUUCAGUAUCUAAAAAUAAAUCAAACCAAAGAGAAUAAAAACAUUAGGGGAUUUCCCAUUGGAGGAGCCGAGAGAUCCAAAAUGACGACAGAUCCUUCCACGCCUUCUGAGGAGAACGGAGGAAACGACCUCCAGCUGAAAUAUAUGCUAUAUUGAUUCGAUAGCAGAUACAAGAGAAGAGCCCCGAUUUUGGCAAGAACGAGCUGCGAUGCGACAGUGACGCGGAUGAAUCCGAUGCAGACGAUGGCGGAGAAGAAGAAGUUGAGCGGCGGAUUCAUCGGUUGCGUCAAUAUGGCGCUCUCUUUGCCGACGUCUCCGCCACCGUUCUUGGUGAGUGGGUCAAUUUCAUUACCGACCAAAACGGAAUUCAAAGAGCAAGCUCAGACUUAUGAAGUUCUUAGUAAUGUAGUUCUACUUUCGGGGCUCAUGAUGACCAAGCUUUAGCCGGUUGGGGUCUCCUGUCCAUGCAUCAAAAACAAAAUUUGAAGAAAAAAAAUGAAAAUUCUAUUUGCUUAGAGAUCAAAGGAGAUGGUACGAGAAGAACACUAAGAGCCACUGCAAUUAGAGGUUGCUCAAUAGUUACAAAGGGCCUUUAUGGUUGGUAGGUUGACUUUUAAAUUUGAGGAAUGACACUGUUUAAAAGUUGUUUGCCUCAUAGCUAAAAAAUCUGUUAGGUAUAACGUUUUGUAUUUGAUAUGACAUAGUUGUGAUUUUUCAAUCAAGAAGCUGUUUUAUCAAUGAAACAACUGGUUAGUGCAGAAAUGGCUACCAUUAGAGAUUAUAUUAGAUUACUUUACUCUUAAAGUUAGAUGGUCAUGCUAGUUUAAAUUUACUAAUGUUCUUACAUGUGAAUAUGUGCACACGAUUGCAAUAUAGUGUUUGAAAGAAAUAGUGUAGUUUGAUUUUAUACGGAAGAUGUUCAUGUUGGAAGAAGUACAUAUUGAUCACUCUUAACGGGUACAUGUGGAUCAUGUCAAAAUUAUGUACAUGUGGAUACAAUUUUUUUUGUACACUUUUGAAACAAGUAAAUGUGCGUACUAGCUUUGCAAAUGUCGGCGUAGUCGUGUAAAGGUGGUCAAUGCAUCAUGGUAAGGUGCUCAUUUGGAUAUUUUGUAUAUUAGAAUUAUAAACAUAUAUGGGGUCAUUGUUUGGUGGUACAUGUGUACAAAUCAUUUUUUUGUGUACAUGUGUACACAUAAAUAUUUUGUGUAGAUGUAAAUUAUGUAUAUUACAAUUAUAAAUCUAUAUUGAGUCAUUGUUUGGUGGUACAUGUGUACAAAUCAAUUUUUUGUGUACAAUGUGUACACAUAAAUAUUUUGUGUACAUGUAAAUUAUGUAAAAGUAAGUUUCUUUACAAACUUUCCAGCCCCACAUGAUUCACAUCGCCUGGUUCAUCUGCGGCUGAGACGGAAAUUGACUCGGCGUCAGAGUUACAUUUACGGUGGAGCUACACCGGCUUCUCUGGUCUUCAAGAUCUGACACACCUCUCUCAUCUCCAUCAUCACUCUCUCUUAUCCUCACCAGAGCGUCCGGUGCAUCUUCUCGCUCUGUAACAAAUACACAUGAAACCACCGUACACAUCUCAUCAUCUCCACUACAAAAAACCAUGUUCAUCGCAAAAUCAUCAUUUUUGUAGAACAAGAUCUUCACAAAAUCGCCGUCGUAAUGGAACAGCUUCAUCAUCUCCCUCGACAAAAUCUGUGACAAAUAUUACUCAACCAAAUAAUUUAAGGAAAAGAAAAUCAAAACAUCUAUGAUUAAAAUGCAGAUUUAUAAAAGUAACCGUAUAAAAAAAAUAAGAAGCACAAGAUAAGAAAUAGAUAGAAAAGAAGAGAGAAAGAAGUAGGUCCUACUAGUUAUAAUUUAGUUCGUCUUACUCUUAGUUGGUCAAACACUCUAACCAGUCUAACCAAAAUAUAAUGUCAUUUGACAAAAAUAUCCAUUCUCGUUUCAUUUUUAGGACAAAGAAGUCUUCAACCAACAGAAAGUACUUUGGUAGCACAAAGUGAUCUUGAAUGUAAUAAAAAGAUAUAAAGUGACUUAUAAUGAAAAUAACUCAAUUUUAAAUUAAAAAGUAGAAUUAUUAAAUUUGAUUGGUUACACAGUUUUUUAUAAACUUAAAGCUACCUAGAAAUAUGAGAACAUCCUACAUAUUAGAACAUGAAAACUAUUCUAAACAUCUUAUAUUUAGGAACAGAGAGAAUACUUCACUUAUAUACCAAUUUUUCAAACCGAUUUCAGUGAUUGUUUUUUUUGUCUUGUCUUACAUGGGCUGAGUCAUGAUUCUUACUUCAUAUCUGUUUUUAUUUUCAUUUUACUCUUUUAAAUUAUUCAACCUAAUUAAAUAUUUGAUCUCUGAUAACAAUACAGAGAUUUGUAAAAAAUAACUUGAGAUUCAGACUGGUGAAAUGAUAAUUCUAGUAGCAACGAUGUUAACCACACUAAUUCACAUGUAACAUCACUUACGGUCCUACCUGCUCGUACAAAACCAAACUUUUUUUAGGCAAAGAAAUAGUAAAGAACAAAAACCAAAACCAAACUUGAGUGUUUCUUUUUCUAAGUCAAAGUUGUAGUUUGUCUUACUGAUUUAAAAAAAAAAAUGUAUUACUUACUAAAACAAACAUUAUCAACACCACAAGUUAAACAAAACUCAACAAAAAAUUUCAAAAAUCACAAAAAACUUAACAUACAUCACCUAAUUUACAAGAGAUAUCAAACGCAUUGUCUACUUCUAAUACAUCCGUCCUACCUUUUGCCUAAAGUCUCAUGAAGACAAUGGAUCAUGAAGUAUUCAUUAUGUGAUUGUCUUCCACUCUAACUAUAGAUAAAGUUUAAGAGAUAACAUGUAAUUGAUGAGAUAUCGAUAGAAACUAGAACUUGGACAAUACGAAAAAUACUUAUGAGCACACGAGAUUCCUCAAAAAAAAAUACUCUUAUUAAGAAUCGUUUAAACAGACUUAACAAUUCUGUUUAAUCAGGUUUCUAUGCCUACACACACCCGUGUAUCACGGAUCAGUCCUUAACUAUCCAAAGAACUCAAGAACUAUAACCCGGUCUCCAUCCUUACAGUUCUCUCGUCAACUCACUUUCUCACAGAAAUCUAUCUCUUGAUAUCUCUCAGAAAGCAACCUCUUUCUUCGAUUCUCCAUUUCUCUAUAUCCUUGGCAAUCUGAAGAUUCUCUCCAAAUCUUCUUUCCAUAUCUCUCUCCUCUUUUCCAUAACUGUUUAGAUCAUGAUCAAGUCUCUCACAAGUUACUAAAACGAUCAUCCCAAUCUCCAAUCGUCUUGAAACGAAACCACGUUAAAGCGGCUUCAACUUCUCAUGAAUCUCGAUUAAAAAAUCUCCCCCUUUUUAUCUGCACCAGUCACUCAUUACUGAAUAUGCAAAACAUUUCACACAGAAACUCACAUGCAACACAGAGUUAAGCACAUUAGUCACUCUCAAAUACGCUUGAACACUCAUAGCCAUCGCCCUUUCAGUCAAUAAUAAGACCAACAUGAUUCAUAAUACUUCAAUAGUCAUAUGGAGUAAACAAAAGUCUUAAACUAGUUCAGAAACAAAGCCAAACACAAUUGAGCACAAACGCAUCUAAGCUCCGUACAUGACAUAAACUUCUCCCCCAGAAUGCGAGACUCGUCCGAUAAAAACACAUUCAUUUAGACACCUUGGCUCCCCCAUAAGCUCAUCAUCACCAAGCAUGUGACCACCCUCACUCUGAUGUGCUAUAAUCUGAUGAAUGAAGUUCGGAAAACAGACAUCAGAAUCAUCCAAUGGUUUGUGAACACCAUUGUGAAUCUGAGACCGUAGCAGUUCACCAAAGUUUACAUGCUUCCUCAUAACCAAGGAAUCAAGUAAUCUGAGACGCUGCUGUAUCAUAUCAUCUGACUCCUCCCCUGGAAUCCAGUUAGUACUGCAGACGUAGUAAACUUGACGAUACACCAGACAUAGAUCUUCGAUGGAGAACUCACUACAUUGAUUGCGGAGGCCUUCCCUUAGAGUUUAGUUAAAAAUAACCACUCAUCAGUAUCUUAUCCAACGAAUUAUCUAGUCAUCAAAAGAGUUAUCAUGUUGUCUUAGAGCUUAUUGGCAAUGUACUUCGUCAGAGACUAUCACAUUCUUAGGUACUGCUUUUCUCAGCUGAGAUGCAUUCAUACCAAGUUUUUUUUUUUUGCUCUAAGAUUUCAACAAGCCUCUUCUUAACUAUUUAUAACCUUGAAUUUUUUCAACCUGAGUCUUUUGCUCAUACAAAGCUUUAUAAAGAAUAUUAAAUUUAACUUCGUAAGGUUUGGUGCACCUCAGUACAAACAGUGAUCAAGAUCAGAUGCAAACUAUUGUAACAGCCUGAUCCGACAUGAGUGUUUAUCUUUCUGAGACUGUGUUUGCGAUUUUCAAUCAAGGUUUCCAAGAUAGGUUGAUAGUCUCUACUAGGGUUACAUGUACUUCUUAGACUAAAGGAAUUUAUCAUUUACAUAGGAAAAUAAUAUUGGCUACAAUUCAUGAUCUUAAAGGUAUCAAACCCCAAGAGCCUCUCAUGAAUACAAGAGACUACUGAGAGCCUCAUGUUUUUGGAACAAGUCCCAUAGUUGGUUUUCUGAUGUUUUGUGCUGGAGAAUGGUUAAUUUUUCAUCCAACAGGUUAAACACAAAGUGGAACUUAACAUCAAUGUGUCUGCACCGAACAUAUGCUUUCUGUUUAGCCACAAAUCAUUCAAGUCUUGUUUAAUUAUAUGAGUUUCUCCCAGAGUUAGUGAUCUUACCAUAGCAAUUGAUCAGGUGUCUCAUCCACAGAAUCUGAACACAACUUUUACCAAGCUCUAACUGUUCCCAUAGUGUCACCAGAGAUGGGUCGUGAUUGUCACCCAUGUACAGUUCUCGUACCUUUGUCCAACACCCGUCAUGCAACACUGCACAACAAGUAUUCUUGUCAGUAAAUUCAUUAAAGUUACAGACAAGUUGAUUACGAAUGUAAACCAUCAUUCAUUUUACUCAAUGAAAAUAAUGUGGAUUGGAUAUUAUUUGUGUGUCUUCACAGAGACUAAAAUCAACACCGAGUUGAGGUUGACUUUCAGUAAUGUAGACGAGACUGGUUGUUUGCGCUUUUUUGCACUGGACUAUAGCAUCGAUGCUGCCCCUCAGGCUGAUCAGCUUACUUGACUCAGUGUCAAACCGUUUUGUCAAGCUCCUGGCUUUAAACUCAUGAUUCAGGCCUCUCAGCUGAGAACCAAGAAAGUAUUCCAAUUCUCCUGUGAUGUAUAGCCGAUACUCGUGUUUCCAUUGGUAUGGGUUGUUUUUAACGUUUGUACUGAAGGCAGUCGAGAUCUGAGUAGACGUAGCUUGACGUUCUUUGUUCAAAGAAUCAUCACAGCACUGCAAGCAUCUCAUGUACAAUUGUGGUUUCCAUACUUUUGACUGAGACAAUUCCAGAACCUCAAUUUCCAUGGAAGUUUACCAGUUCGGAGUGUCAUAUCUUGUGGUUCGUUGUCCCUCAGUUUCGACUAUUUGGGACGUUUUCCACAUGUAGCAGUUACUGCAUGUUCGGACUCCAGCGAGAAUUACCUUGCCGUCCUCAUCUACCGCUUUGCACUCAGUUUUGAUGAACAUCACCAUCAGACCUUCAUCACACACUUAACUAAUGCUAAUGAGGUUUGAUUUUAAUCUUUCCACCAAAUAGACAUUGAUGAGAGAGGGUUGCUCUGGAUGUUUAAUUGAACCAACUCCUUGGACUCUUACCUUUUUGCCGUUUCCAAUCAUAACCCUCUUACCAGUUGUCUGAACCAGAUUUGUGAGCAAGUCAUCAUUUUCUGUCAUGUGUCGCGAGCAUCCACUAUCGAAGUACCACAUUCCUUCCCGUGCUCAUUUGCAGCUAGUCCUAGUUCCAGAUCUUCCUCUAUCUCUUCAUCCUCCUCACUGAUCAUGGCAUGGUUGCAGAGUAGGUUCCCAGGUUCUUCUUCAUGCACCAAUCUGGGAUAUAACUCUUGUGAUCGAGACUCUUCCAAACUAUUUACUUUUAAUGAUGCAUUUUCAUGUCUUCCAGACCUGACGAAUCUUCCUGAGAAAUCUGUAGUAGAACGUUUUCUUAUGUCUCAUUCUUCCACAAGCAAAACAACCUUUGCGUUUGUUCAUCAGGAGUGUCUCCGCCUUUUCUGAUGUCUCUUACUGGCUGUCAGUCUCUUGUGUCAUGGCUGUUGUGUUCACUUGUCCUGUUAUCACUUGUUUCACUUUUGAAUUUUUUGGUCUAGAACAUUCACCAUGUUCAGUUACAGUAACUUGCUCCUUUAAGGAUUCAUUUCCAUGCACGAACACAGUGGAUACAAAUUCCUUCCCAUUGUAUCCGAGUCCCGAGUUAGCGUUCAGUGGUUGUCUGAAACUCAGAAUUUGAUCGAGAUCUUUAGUUCCUUUGCUCAGCAUUCGAAUAUUUUUGUGGUUUUAAGUCAAAUCUCGUUCCAACCCUCGAGCUUUGGCAUGUUCUUCAGUAUAAGCUUGCCACAUCUUUGCUAUCCGAUCUUCCAAAGCAACAUUCUUUUGUUUCUCAUCAAUCAAUUCAUUUUCUAAAUCCGUCAUGCUUCUCAACACAUUUCCAGUUUCUGGUGCUUUGUUCUCUUUGUCACCUGAUUCGCUGAAGUCAAUCGUCAGGAUGUUAACCUGAGCCUUCAGCUGUGUCCUUUAACAACUAAAUAUUCUCAUGACUCAGUUUCAUACACUGAUCAUACAGCUCUCGGUAUUCCUUCUUAACAUCUACCUCAUCCCUUUAAUCGUCUUCUGAAGUGUCUGAGUCUGAUGACGAGCUUUCAGCCCCCUCAAGAGCAACAAAGUUUAGAAGAAGAUCCUUGUUAUCUCCCUCAUCUUCAGAUUCCGUGUCACUGAAGCACAGCAAGGAUUUGUCUCCAUUCUUCUUCUCGACAUUUGGACAUUCCGCCUUGAGAAGUCCCACUCCUUUGUAUUCAGCACAUUUCAUCUCUUUUCGUUUAAACAGCGAACAUUUGCGCUGAAAGUGGCCAAAUCCUUCACCAGUUAUGACACUGUAUGUCCUUUUUCUAAUCUUGCUUGUCUUCAUAGGUCUUUGAGUUUCUCUGAGUUUCACCUCGGUUGGUACGUCCGAAACUCCUUGGAACUCAGAGAAACUCCUCUACGCUCCUUUGUCAAGCCGUCUCACCAUGUUAUUAAAGUUUCUUGCCAUCAUACUGACAUCAGCUUCCAAUUUCUUCACCCUUUCAUCUUCAGUGUUUGCCGUGAAUGCAAUUCCUUUAAUCGGAGGAGGUUAAUCUUCAGUCUGUUUUCAAAUGACAUAAGUAGCUCCACCAAUUUAUCCAACUUGGUGUCAUCCGAGUUCAUGGGCGCCUUGAUGACAGCCUUGUAGGCUUCAAAUCACUUUGGAAGACAUCUGAUGAGCUUCUUAACAAGUUUCUUUUCUUUGUACUUUUCUCCCAUCACAGCUGCCGCAUUUGCAAUCAUGCUCAGUUUGUUUUUGAAGCUUCCAAGAGGUUGUCUUCCGCCAUUCUUAGAUUUUCCCACUUGGUCUCAAGGUGGUCAAAACGAAUCCUUUGAACACUUGAAUCUCCUUCAAAGUAGUUUACCAGUGUGUCUCACGCAUCUUUUGCCGAUUCACACCCUUGUAUAAUCUUGAAUUGAUCAAUACGAACGGCAAAGAAGAUGAUAGAAAUGGCCUUGGAGUUCCAUUUUGACGCAUUCUAUUCUUUAGUUGUCCAUUGCUCCAACGUCUUGGACACUUGCUUUCUCUUCUCAUCCAUCAUGGUACACUCAUUCCAGUCAUUAACAACAAAAGCCCAUGCCUCCUCAUCUAUACCACAAAUGAUAUACCUUAUUUUAACCUUCCAUUUUCCGAAGUUUGAUCCAUCUAAUAUGAUCGGCUUCUCUACUGCGAUUAGCUCCUUCAUAUGAUUCAUGUUCUUCCCAAGAUCUCAACAUGUAGCCAAUGUAGAUAUCGAAGAGGUUGGCCGCUCUGAUAUCAAAUGUAGAAACUAGAACUUGGACAAUAAUAUAUAUGAGCACACGAGUUCCUCAAAAAAUACUCUUAUUAAGAAUCGUUUAAACAGACUUAACAACUCUGUUUAAUCAGGUUUAUGUGACUACACACCCGUGUAUCACAACUGAUCAAUCAUUAACUACCCAAAGAACUCAAGAACUAUAACCCAGUCUCUACCCUUACAGAUUUCUCAUCAGCUCACUUUCUCUCAAAAACAUAUCUCUUGAUAUCUUUCAAAAAUUGCACCUCUUUCUUUUGUUCCCUCUUUCCGUAUAUCCUUGAUAAUCUGAAGAUUUUUCCCAAAUCUUCUUCCCAUAUCUUUCUCCUCUUUUCCAUAUCUGUUUAGAUCAUGAUCACGUCUCUCACAAAUUAUUAAACCGAUCAUUCCAAUCUCUAAUCGUUUUGAACCGAAACCACUUUAAACCGGCUUCAACUUCUCAUGAAUCUCGAUUCACCAACAUCAUCUACUUCUGAUUUUUUUGGCAUAUCUCGCUUAGAGUCUCGUGAAGACAAUAGAUCAUGAUACUCCUAUUGUGAAUUUCUUCAAUUUUUGUUAUAUUUCACAUGUUUAACUAAUAUGAAUAAUAAUCUGUAUAUAAUGUGUUGACGUUCAUUUUGCCGAUUAAAUAUAAUUUUUGAUACUCAAUUAAUACAUAAGCAUCGAAAAUUCAACACCAUCUUCUUGAAGAUUUCAUUUAACAGGUUUAUAUUUUAAUCAUAUAACUAGACCUUGACCCGCGCAACCACGCAUGUAUUUAUUUUUCAUUUUUCAUUUUUAUUUUUACAGAAUGUUAUAGCUGUAAAAUUUAAUCAUAUUACAUAACUAUUAUAAUAUAACAUUUGAAAGAUAACACUUUUUGAACUACAUCGAGUUACUUUUUUUUGUGUUUUACAGUAAAUUGUAUCACAUAUAUUGGGUAUCAUAUAAAAAAUCUAAAAUUUAUCUAAUUACACUUUUGUCUAGGAUAUAUAGAAAACAUUUUUUUCCUAAUUAAAAAGUACGAACAACAAACAACUAUGAGUUAGUAUGCUAUUAAAACUGAUACAUUAGUUAUAGCGUUUAAGAAAAUAAAAUGAUUGUUCAACUUCUAUCAAAUUUGUAACAUAAAACAAAUAAAGAUUAUAACUUGUAAAAAAUAAAAUAAAAAUUUAAUUUAACAGAUAAGAAAUUAAAUGAUGAGCUUAAGUUUGCAUAUAUUUCAUUUAAUAAUUUUGGUAAUAUUAAAUUGUAGUGAUCCAUUAGUCCAAAGCCUAUUUAUAACCGAUUGUUGUCCGGAAAACCUAAUAACAAAACGUGUAUUUGCGUCGAGUUAAAACCACAUACUUUUUUUAAUGUGUCUGUCGUUUAACGUUUUUUUGAAAUACUCUGUCUAUCUAUCUUCUUUUUCGGUGUAAAUAAAGUGAAACUAUAUAUAAUAGGGAUAUGAAACCAUAUAAUAGAGAAUAUACCUCAACCGUUUUGCAAGGAACAUCACGCGAAUUUAAUAUAAAAUAUCUUGAUUAGCACAAAUUUAGGCAAUAGUUUGGAAGCUAAUUAUUCAUAAUAUUCGAUAUUUGUAUUUUUGGAACUAAUUUAUCGAUAUACAGAAGGUGUAGAUUUUUUAGAUAGAUCUUUUUUUUUUUUUUUUUUUGUCACUGUUUUAGAUAGAUCUUAUACAUUAAAUUUCAAAAUUAAAGUAGAUUGAUCCGCAUGUUAAGGGAAAAAUGAGUUUGGAAACAAAUUAUUUGAUUUAGUAAUAGGUAACAUUAUAAUUAUUUUUGUGUGUUUUACUUUCUCAAUCUUAUUGUUAUAAGAAAGAUUCAUCAUUGAUUAUAUAUGUAUGGAGGGACUAAGAAAGAUAUUAUAGUUUGGAUUUUCAUAUAUUGAUUUUUUUUUAAUUUAGAAAGGUCACGAAAAAUUGUGGUAAAAAUAACUAAAUUAAUAUAUACGUAUGAAUAUAUUGAUUUGUAUAGUUGGUUUCAAUUUAAUACAAAAAUAAAUAUAUACAUAUGAAUAUGUUGGUUUGCAUCUAAUAUAAAAAUUAAUAUAUACGUAUGAAUAUAUUGAUUUGUCUAGUUUGUUUGGAUUUUGAAUAUAUUGAUUUUGUUUGUUUAGAAAGGAUACAAAAAUAACUAACUUAAAUCUUCCAUUGAUCUGUAUACAAGUUCCAUCAGCUAUAGGUGAAGAAGAAAAAAUGAUAUAUUGUUGUGGUUUGUAUUAAAAGAAAGCUAUGUCAAAUUGAAAGUUACGUAUAUCAAUGACUUAAGAAAGUUGUGUACAUCAAGAACAGUGGACUGAACAUUUGAAAGUGCGGAAAGUAAUACCUGUACAAGAGCAGUGUCAAUUUCAUUUUGUAACUGGUUGUUGCCGUAUUUUUUCUUGGGUUAAAAUUUGAUUUAGGAAAAUGCAUUAAUAAACAGAAAAAGACAAUAAAUAUUUAAGGUAGGUUAAGUAAUUAAUUCAGUGGCAUUGCAUUGUAAAUAAAUUGCAAACUUUAGGGAUAUUUCUUAUUUGUAUUUUUUUUUAAUAAGAUAGAUAUCAAACUUUCAUUUUUAAUGUUUUUGUAUUAAUUAAAUAUACAAAUAUAUAAGAUGUUAAAUCAUAAGCUAUAAUAAUUUAAAUACUUUUAUAGUAAAUAAUAUUUAUGUCAGGUAUUUUUGAGAUUUUUCUCUUUUUACUUAAUAAUCAUCUACAAGGGAUGAUCUCUUGAUCUGGCUAAUUAAACCCGUUGACAAGUUACAUAUUUGUUCUUGUUACACUAUGGUCUAUAGAACAAUGGGCCUUACUUAUUGGCAUUCCUUCAAAACCAGUUUUAGCUUUCAUUCAUAUUUCCUUUCAACAUACAUUUCGCCUUAAACCGAAAGCGUCUUCCUAAUUAGACCAUUAUUAACCUCAGUUUCUUAAUUGGGAUUCUUAACUUCGGCUAAAAGACGAUUCUUAACUUUUCUUAGAUUUUUACUAAGAAAAACUAAGAAUCAUCUCUUAAAUAAGAGAUAUAAGAACCGUCUCUUAACCGAAAAGUGUAAAAAAAACACACAAAAAUGUCAAAUCAUGAGUUAAGAACCUCGGCUAAAAGACCGGGGUUAAUCAUGUCCUUAAACAUACAUAGUCCAUAUUUUGAAAAUUAAUCUAAUAAUGUAAAUCAAAACCUCAACUUCUAAAAUUUAUGAAUCCUAAAACCAAAUUAUAAACCCAUUAUAUUUAUAACCCACUUUUUAAAAACAUAUUUUUGAAAGAGUUAGCCGAUAUCUUCAUUUGUCAUUCAUAUAAAUGAUGUCAUCUACUACUAUGUUAGAUUACGUUAACAACAAAGGAAAAAAAAAUUAUUGUCGAAGAUUCUCUAGGCGUCCAAAAGAGAUUAUCUUUCGUCUGUUUUCCCCCUCUUUGCUUGUUUAAAUUUUAUGUCUUUUCUUCAUUCGUUAUAUAUAUAUUCGAUAACACGUUAUAUCCUGUAGUUCACAGUUUUCACUGAAAAGCAAAAAAAAAAAUACUUUGGUACCAGUGUGGAAGAAUCUUUCAUCUUUGGUCCAUGUUAUUGACUAUAAAAUUGUACAAGUCAAUAUUCGAUUCUUAACGUCAUAGAGUCUUUGUUUUACUUUAACAGUCUUUGUUUAUAUGUUUUUGCUUGUUGAGUAUCAUUUUUAUCACGAAUGCACACGAAAACAACAUCUUCAUACUAUCUGUUUUCUAAUUUGGUUUACUGUGUUUUUUUUUCUUUCUACAAAGCGUUUUUGUGUGUUAGCUGCUGAAAUAUCAAAGGUUGAUAAGUCUGUCGUCAACUAACGUCUUUGUUUAUUUGUCCUGUAUCACUUUAAACGUUGGAAAAUUAAGACGUACCAUUCGAAGUACAAAGUAUUUUAACAUUUUCAAGCUGAAAUACUUGUACUCUCGCCUCACAUAUCUCUUGUAAAAGCCUAACAACCAAGAGAUUAUAAAUAUCAACAUGAACGUAAACUGUUUAGUUUACAUAAACCUUAAAACAUUAAAAUGCCCAUGGAAAUAUCGAUUAUCAUACCAGUUCAAAAAAAAAAAAUCGACUAUCAUGAAUGGACAUAAUUUAUUUUUUUUUGCUAAAUUGUAAAACGAAGUUUUGGUUACAAUUGGAAUGAAACCAGUUUCUGCUUUCCAGCCAUCCUGAAUCUAAGGAGCCACAAAAAUUAAAAUAC